rnacentral:rRNA from 1 species
UCGGCCUGCGCGGAAGAUGUAACGGGGCUAAACCAUGCACCGAAGCUGCGGCAGCGACGCUUAUGCGUUGUUGGGUAGGGGAGCGUUCUGUAAGCCUGUGAAGGUGUGUCGUGAGGCAUGCUGGAGGUAUCAGAAGUGCGAAUGCUGACAUAAGUAACGAUAAAGCGGGUGAAAAGCCCGCUCGCCGGAAGACCAAGGGUUCCUGUCCAACGUUAAUCGGGGCAGGGUGAGUCGACCCCUAAGGCGAGGCCGAAAGGCGUAGUCGAUGGGAAACGGGUUAAUAUUCCCGUACUUGGUGUUACUGCGAAGGGGGGACGGAGAAGGCUAUGUUGGCCGGGCGACGGUUGUCCCGGUUUAAGCGUGUAGGUGUGUGUUCCAGGUAAAUCCGGUUCACUUUAACACUGAGGCGUGAUGACGAGGCACUACGGUGCUGAAGUAACAAAUGCCCUGCUUCCAGGAAAAGCCUCUAAGCAUCAGGUAACAUCAAAUCGUACCCCAAACCGACACAGGUGGUCAGGUAGAGAAUACCAAGGCGCUUGAGAGAACUCGGGUGAAGGAACUAGGCAAAAUGGUGCCGUAACUUCGGGAGAAGGCACGCUGACACGUAGGUGAAGUGAUUUACUCAUGGAGCUGAAGUCAGUCGAAGAUACCAGCUGGCUGCAACUGUUUAUUAAAAACACAGCACUGUGCAAACACGAAAGUGGACGUAUACGGUGUGACGCCUGCCCGGUGCCGGAAGGUUAAUUGAUGGGGUCAGCGCAAGCGAAGCUCCUGAUCGAAGCCCCGGUAAACGGCGGCCGUAACUAUAACGGUCCUAAGGUAGCGAAAUUCCUUGUCGGGUAAGUUCCGACCUGCACGAAUGGCGUAAUGAUGGCCAGGCUGUCUCCACCCGAGACUCAGUGAAAUUGAACUCGCUGUGAAGAUGCAGUGUACCCGCGGCAAGACGGAAAGACCCCGUGAACCUUUACUAUAGCUUGACACUGAACAUUGAGCCUUGAUGUGUAGGAUAGGUGGGAGGCUUUGAAGUGUGGACGCCAGUCUGCAUGGAGCCGACCUUGAAAUACCACCCUUUAAUGUUUGAUGUUCUAACGUGGACCCGUGAUCCGGGUUGCGGACAGUGUCUGGUGGGUAGUUUGACUGGGGCGGUCUCCUCCUAAAGAGUAACGGAGGAGCACGAAGGUUGGCUAAUCCUGGUCGGACAUCAGGAGGUUAGUGCAAUGGCAUAAGCCAGCUUGACUGCGAGCGUGACGGCGCGAGCAGGUGCGAAAGCAGGUCAUAGUGAUCCGGUGGUUCUGAAUGGAAGGGCCAUCGCUCAACGGAUAAAAGGUACUCCGGGGAUAACAGGCUGAUACCGCCCAAGAGUUCAUAUCGACGGCGGUGUUUGGCACCUCGAUGUCGGCUCAUCACAUCCUGGGGCUGAAGUAGGUCCCAAGGGUAUGGCUGUUCGCCAUUUAAAGUGGUACGCGAGCUGGGUUUAGAACGUCGUGAGACAGUUCGGUCCCUAUCUGCCGUGGGCGCUGGAGAACUGAGGGGGGCUGCUCCUAGUACGAGAGGACCGGAGUGGACGCAUCACUGGUGUUCGGGUUGUCAUGCCAAUGGCACUGCCCGGUAGCUAAAUGCGGAAGAGAUAAGUGCUGAAAGCAUCUAAGCACGAAACUUGCCCCGAGAUGAGUUCUCCCUGAGACUUAGAGUCUCCUGAAGGAACGUUGAAGACGACGACGUUGAUAGGCCGGGUGUGUAAGCGCAGCGAUGCGUUGAGCUAACCGGUACUAAUGAACCGUGAGGCUUAACCUUACAACGCCGAAG